AUAUAACUUUGGGUGGAUCAUGGAGAUUGAAGAAUUGUGUUUUCACCAGUACACUUGCCAUCACAGCAGGUAAUUGUCCAAUAAGGGCUACUGUCCAUCGACUUUGGGUGGAUCAUGGAGAUUGAAGAAAUGUGUUUUCACCAGUACACUUGCCAUCACAGCAGGUAAUUGUCCAAUAAGGGCUACUGUCCAUCGACUUUGGGUGGAUCAUGGAGAUUGAAGAAUUGUGUUUUCACCAGUACACUUGCCAUCACAGCAGGUAAGAUGUGUCCCUUUUUUAACUACAGUACAGGUGCUUUUCUUCU